AGAUGCCAACAUUGCUCUCAAGCUGUCAGUAUUUUUAUUUUAUGCGCCUGAGAUGCCAAUAUUAACUAUAGAAAGCAUAUUACAAGUGUAUAAGGAUAUUACAGAUGUUAUAAUAUUUCAGCAAUAUUUUUACAAAAUCAAUUUUAUUUUAGCUCAAUUAUAUGAUUUGGAAUAAAUGAUAUUUGCUAAGCUAACUUAUUCUAGCAUAGCAGGUUGGUACUAUUAAUUAAGUACCAAAACCUUAUU
rnacentral:misc_RNA from 1 species